AUGUUACCUGUCUAUUGCAGGUUGACAUGUAACAUAGUCUCACAUUAUUGUAACACAACCUUGCAUUAUUGUUCUUUCUUGUAUGGUCAAAGGGAAAGGAAUACCAUGGUGGAACUGCAAGAUGGCAUUAAAGUUCCUGCUUGGCAGUGCCACAAGUCACUUGGGCUUAUUUUGGACUGGCCAAAGCAAGUCAUGAGAAGCAGUAAAAUAUUGGCUGUUUCCUUUCCUCAGAAAUGGUUUAUGGAAGAUCAUAAAUAUAAAAAUAAUAGCUAAAAUUUAUUGGAAUACCAUUUACAUGCCAGGGCUUUACUAAGCAUUUACAGAUGGGAACACUUAAUUCUCACAGCAUCCCUGAGGUAGGUACCAUUGUAAUUCCCAUUGUUCAGGUGAGUGUAAAGCUGCAGCAGCUACAUUAUGAUUCUGCAAAGCAGAAAUUGCUGUCUAGCACUUUCCUUUCUAGCAAGGUGUAUUAGUUCACUCUUACAUUGCUAUAAAGAAAUACCUGAGACUGGGUAAUUUUUAAAGAAAAGAGGUUUAACUGGCUCACAGUUCUGCAGGUUGUACAAGAAGCGUGGUAGUAUCUGCUUCAGGGGAGGCCUCAGGGAACUUACAAUCACGUCAGAAGGGAAACUCAUUCAUGAGAACUCCACCCCCAUGAUCCAGUCACCUCCCACCAGGUCCCACCUCCAAAUUAGGGAUUACAGUUCGACAUGAGAUUAAAGUGAAGACAGACAUCCAAACCGUAUCGUGAGGUUUCCAAAAGCCAAAGUCCCUUGAGAAGAUUAAAAUUGAUGUCCUAGAAAUAGAGAAGAAUGGAAGUGGCUCUAAGAGAAAAACAAGAUAGAGGAGGAUUUUUUUUUUUAAUGAGACGGAGUCUUACUCUGUUGUCAGACUCGAGUGCAGUGGUGCAAUCUCGGCUCACUGCAACCUCCACCUCCUGGACUAAAGCAAUUCUUCUGAGAGUAGCUGGGACCACAGUCACGUGCCACCACGCCUGGCUAAUUUUUUUGUAUUUUUAGUAGAGACGGAGUUUCACCAUGUUGGCCAGGAUGGUCUCAAUCUCUUGACCUCGUGAUCCACCUGCCUCAGCCUCCCAAAGUGCUGGGAUUACAGGCAUGAGGAUUUUUUAAAAAUAUAUAUAUUUAAUUGUAUUUUAGAUUUUUGGAUACAUGUGAAGAACAUGUAAGAUUAUUGCAUAGGUACAUACAUGGUAAUGUGGUUUGUUGACUUCCUCCCCAUCACCUAUAUCCGGCAUUUCUCCCCAUGUUAUUCCUCCCCAACUCCCCAUACCCUGCUGUCCCUCCCCUAGUCCCCUAGUCCCCCCCACAGACCCUAGUGUGUGAUACUCCCCUCCCUGUUUCCAUGAAUUCUCAUUGUUCAACACCCACCUAUGAGUGAGAACAUGUGGUGUUUGAUUUUCUGUUCUUGUGUCAGUUUGCUGAGAAUGAUUUCCAGGUUCAUCCAUUGUCCCUACAAUGGACACAAACUCAUCGUUUUUGAUGACUGCAUAGUAUUCCAUGGUGUAUAUGUGCCACAUUUUCCCUGUCCAGUCAAUGAUAAUUGAUGGGCAUUUGGGUUGGUUCCAGGUCUUUGCUAUUGUAAACAGUGCUGCAACGAACAUUCAUGUGCAUGUGUCCUUAUAAUAGAAUGAUUUAUAAUCCUUUGGAUAUAUACCCAGGAUUGGGUAUUGCUGGGUCAAAUGGAAUUUCUAUUUCUAGGUCCUUGAAUUGCCACACUGUCUUCCACAAUGGUUGAACUAAUUUAUAAUUUACACUCCCACCAACAGUGUAAAAGUGUUCCUAUUUCUCCACAUCCUCUCCAGCAUCUGUUGUCUCCAGAUUUUUUAGUGAUUGCCAUUCUAACUGGCAUGAGAUGGUAUCUCAAUGUGGUUUUGAUUUGCAUUUCUCUAACAACCAAUGAAGAUGAACAGUUUUUCAUAUGUUUGUUGGCCUCAUGAAUGUAUUCUUUUGUAAAGUGUCUGUUCAUAUCCUUUGCCCACUUUUGAAUGGGUUUGUUUGUUUCUUUCUUGUAAAUCUGUUUUAGUUCUUUGUAGAUUCUGGAUAUUAGCCCUUUGUCAGAUGCAUAGAUUGCAAAAUUUUUUCCCAUUCUGUUGGUUGCCAAUUCACUCUAAUAAUUGUUUCUCUUGCUGUGCAGAAGCUGCGGAGUUUGGUUAGGUCCCAUUUGUCUGUUUUGGCUUUUGUUGCCAAUGCUUUUGGUGUUUUGGCCAUGAAGUCCUUGCCUAUGUCCUGAAUGGUUUUGCCUAGAUUUUCUUCUAGGGUUUUUAUGGUGUUAGGUCUUAUAUUUAAGUCUUUAAUCCAUCUGGAGUUAAUUUUAGUGUAAGGUGUCAGAAAGGGGUCCAGUUUCUGCUUUCUGCUCAUGGCUAGCCAGUUUUCCCAACACCAUUUAUGAAACAGGGAAUCCUUUCUCCAUUGCUUGUUUUUGUCAGGUUUGUCAAAGAACAGAGGCCUUGGAGGUAUCUACAUCCAUCUGAUUUUUGAGGAGGAUUUUUUGGUGGCUAAAGUGAGACCAGAAAAAGAAGAGAGAUUUGUGGAUCUCAGGAGAAGCAAGAACUUGCCAUUUGCUUCCUGAGCAGGAAUUAGUAUUCUACGGCAGGGUCGGAAAAUACAUAUAACCUAUGGACCAAGCCCAGUCGGUUGACUGUGUUUUAUAAAUAAAUUUUGUUGGAACACAGCUAUGCCCUUUUAUUUACAUAUUGUAUGUAGCUGCUUUCACUCUACAAUGGCAGAGUUGAGAAAUUGCCAUAGAGACCAUAUGGCUUGCACAAAGCCAGAAAUAUUUACUGUCUUGACCUUUAGAAAAAAUGGUUACCAGCCUCCAUUCUGUGGUGUUGCUGUCAUCAUAUCUAUUUUAGGUGAGGCUACUUUACAUCAAUCUGAUACUCACAAAUUAUUUUCCUGUGUUGUGUGACUCUGUUAAAACUCAUGUAGUAUUCUAAGAGUCGUGGGUUAAGC
rnacentral:lncRNA from 1 species